rnacentral:rRNA from 1 species
CCCCUAGAUGUUCUGGGCCGCACGCGCGCUACACUGAACAGUUCAACAAGUCUUAACCUUGGCCGGUAGGUCUGGGUAAUCUUUGAACGCUGUUCGUGAUUGGGAUAGACCUUUGCAAUUAUGGGUCUUCAACGAGGAAUUCCUAGUAAACGCAAGUCAUCAGCUUGCAUUGAUUACGUCCCUGCCCUUUGUACACACCGCCCGUCGCACCUACCGAUUGAAUGGUCCGGUGAAAUCUCGGGACGGCGGCUUGGUCGCUUGCGUCCGACUGCUGAAACUUGAUUAAACCAUAUCAUUUAGAGGAAGGUGAANUCGUANCA